CAGGUUGGACAGCCGCGGGCGGAUUCCGAAAGGAACCGCGUGAGGAAAGUCCGGGCUCCACAGGGUAAGGAUAACGGGUAACGCCCGCCGGGGGUGACCCCAGGACAAGUGCAACAGAGAGAUACCGCCGUUCUUUCACCACUUCGGGUGAUGUUAGGGCGGCAAGGGUGAAAAGGUGCGGCAAGAGCGCACCCGGCCCAUGGAGACAUGGGUUUUACGAUGUAAACUCUAUCCGGAGCAACGCCGAGGAGGGACAUACGACUGACCCGGUCGUCCCGAGGAGGCGGCUGGAUCCCGUGAGCGAUUGCGGGACUAGAUAGAUGGCUGUCAAAACAGAACCCGGCUUACAGACCAGAUC
rnacentral:RNase_P_RNA from 1 species